AGCACGGAGGAAGUUUUAUUUCUUUGGUUGGCGAGUGGCGGACGGGGUGAGUAAUGUAUCGGAACGUGCCCAGUAGUGGGGGAUAACUACGCGAAAGCGUAGCUAAUACCGCAUAUUCUCUUCGGAGGAAAGGGGGGGAUCAUUUGACCUCUCGCUAUUGGAGCGGCCGAUAUCAGAUUAGUUAGUUGGUGGGGUAACGGCCUACCAAGGCAGUGAUCUGUAGCUGGUUUGAGAGGACGACCAGCCACACUGGGACUGAGACACGGCCCAGACUCCUACGGGAGGCAGCAGUGGGGAAUUUUCGACAAUGGGGGAAACCCUGAUCGAGCCAUCCCGCGUGUGGGACGAAGGCCUUCGGGUUGUAAACCACUUUUCUUAGCGAAGAAAAGUCUUAGGCUAAUACCUUAAGACGCUGACGGUAGCUAAGGAAUAAGCAUCGGCUAACUACGUGCCAGCAGCCGCGGUAAUACGUAGGAUGCAAGCGUUAAUCGGAAUUACUGGGCGUAAAGGGUGCGCAGGCGGCUUGGAAAGAACGGUGUGAAAUCCCGGGGCUCAACCCCGGAACUGCACUAUCAACUAUCAAGCUAGAGUAUGUCAGAGGGGGGUGGAAUUCCGCGUGUAGCAGUGAAAUGCGUAGAUAUGCGGAGGAACACCAAUGGCGAAGGCAGCCCCCUGGGAUAAUACUGACGCUCAGGCACGAAAGCGUGGGUAGCAAACAGGAUUAGAUACCCUGGUAGUCCACGCCCUAAACGAUGUCAACUAGCUGUUGGGCCGGUUACGGCUUAGUAGCGCAGCUAACGCG
rnacentral:rRNA from 1 species